UAUUAUUAAAUAUAUUUAUAUAAAUAUAUAUAAUAAAUAUAAAAAUAAUUUUUAGACCUUUACCUUCCAUAGUAGAAUCAAUACUGUGUCUUUGUUCCAAGGCAGAAGAGGGAUAAGGGCUAGGCAAUGGAAGUUAAGUGGUUUGCCACCACUUUGACUGAGGCCAAAUCUGACCCAGGACCUUCUGUAAAGGUACAGCCAAAACUGGAAAUAGUGGCCAGACAGGAUGUCAGCAGAGUGGGCUACUCACUGGGGCCUUCCUCUGAUCACAGCCCACGUUUCAGUGGGGGGCAGCUCCUAAGCCAAGUUCUGAAGACAUAUAAUUGAAAACCAAGACUGGUCCUCAUGUGGGCAUAAGGAGCA
rnacentral:lncRNA from 1 species